rnacentral:rRNA from 1 species
GACGAACGCUGGCGGCGUGCCUAAUACAUGCAAGUAGAACGCUGAAGGGAGAGCUUGCUCUUCUGGAUGAGUUGCGAACGGGUGAGUAACGCGUAGGUAACCUGCCUGGUAGCGGGGGAUAACUAUUGGAAACGAUAGCUAAUACCGCAUAACAUUGACUAUUGCAUGAUAGUUAAUUGAAAGGUGCAACUGCACCACUACCAGAUGGACCUGCGUUGUAUUAGCUAGUUGGUGGGGUAACGGCUCACCAAGGCGACGAUACAUAGCCGACCUGAGAGGGUGAUCGGCCACACUGGGACUGAGACACGGCCCAGACUCCUACGGGAGGCAGCAGUAGGGAAUCUUCGGCAAUGGACGGAAGUCUGACCGAGCAACGCCGCGUGAGUGAAGAAGGUUUUCGGAUCGUAAAGCUCUGUUGUAAGAGAAGAACGAGUGUGAGAGUGGAAAGUUUCACACUGAGACGGUAUCUACCAGAAA